rnacentral:rRNA from 1 species
UACGUAGGGCGCAAGCGUUAUCCGGAAUACUGGGCGUAAAGCGUGCGCAGGCGGUUCGUUGUGUCGGCGGUGAAAGCCCCCGGGCUUAACCUGGGAAUGGCCGUUGAAACUGGCGAACUGGAGUGUGGCAGAGGGGGGUGGAAUUCCGCGUGUAGCAGUGAAAUGCGUAGAGAUGCGGAGGAACACCGAUGGCGAAGGCAGCCCCUGGGCUAACACUGACGCUGAAGCGCGAAAGCUAGGGGAGCGAACGGG